rnacentral:rRNA from 1 species
AUUGAACGCUGGCGGCAUGCCUUACACAUGCAAGUCGAACGGUAACGCGGGGCAACCUGGCGACGAGUGGCGAACGGGUGAGUAAUAUAUCGGAACGUGCCCAAUAGUGGGGGAUAGCCCGGCGAAAGCCGGAUUAAUACCGCAUACGACCUGAGGGUGAAAGCGGGGGAUCGCAAGACCUCGCGCUAUUGGAGCGGCCGAUAUCAGAUUAGGUAGUUGGUGGGGUAAAGGCCUACCAAGCCUACGAUCUGUAGCUGGUCUGAGAGGACGACCAGCCACACUGGGACUGAGACACGGCCCAGACUCCUACGGGAGGCAGCAGUGGGGGAAUUUUGGACAAUGGGGGGCAACCCUGAUCCAGCCAUUCCGCGUGAGUGAAGAAGGCCUUCGGGUUGUAAAGCUCUUUUGUUCGGGGACGAAACGGUCGUCACCUAAUACGUGAGACUACUGACGGUACCCGAACGAAUAAGACACCGGCUAACUACGUGCCAGCAGCCGCGGUAA